UGCCAGCAGCCGCGGUAAUACGGAGGGGGUUAGCGUUGUUCGGAAUUACUGGGCGUAAAGCGCACGUAGGCGGAUUAGAAAGUUAGAGGUGAAAUCCCGGGGCUCAACCCCGGAACUGCCUUUAAAACUACUAGUCUAGAGUUCGAGAGAGGUGAGUGGAAUUCCGAGUGUAGAGGUGAAAUUCGUAGAUAUUCGGAGGAACACCAGUGGCGAAGGCGGCUCACUGGCUCGAUACUGACGCUCCGGUGGGAAAGUGGGGGGAGCAAGCAGUAUUACAUA
rnacentral:rRNA from 1 species